CCCCCCCCCCCCUUCCCAUUUUUGUUUUACAAAAUAACACUGUUUUUCCAAUACAAUCUAUACGAUUUUAUUUCAUUUUUUUUUCUUUUAAUAAUAUUUCAAAUUUUUAGCUAGAGUGUAUUUGGUAGAGACAAUUAUUGCAUGCUUCAAUUUCACUACCUCACAAUCACAAUUACAAUUAUUUUGUAAUAGAUAACACCAAAAUAAAAACAUGUCUGUUGUUUUCAAGUAAUGCUCAUAGAGUGCUUAUUGUGUUUAAGUCUUAUUAUCAUGAUGUGUUGACUUCAAUAAUAUACAGACCUAUUACUAAGGAAAAAAAAAGUUGCAACAUCAACACAGUACAAGCUAACCAUUAAAUAGCAGUAAUAAUUUAUUAUUACAAUUAUAACAUAACAAUGAUACAUUUGUAGAUUAGAGAGUUGGCAGCUGAAUGAUUUGAAAGUUGGUGAAGAGCAAUAGAUAAGGUUGUACAUGUAAGGGCAACACAGAAAAGGUUGUACAUGUAGAGGGCAACAUAGAAAAAAUCCCAUGCAACAAGCAAAUAUUUACUUGUAAUUUUUGCAAUCAUCUCAGCAUUUCAGAGAAUAAUUAAAAAGAAAUAGUUUUGAGCAGUGAUGCAUACAUUUCAAGCUAGUGACCUGAUGAUAUCCAGCCCCUCCAAACUUCUGACCAAAAUACAUAAUGAGGUCAAGUUCCAACGGACUCAAUUUUUUAAUUAUUUUUUUUUUGCAUUGAGGCAGCCCAUGACAUGCUUGUGGCUAAGUCAUGUGGUCCCCCCCCCCCCCCA